CCUACGGGAGGCAGCAGUGGGGAAUCUUGCACAAUGGAGGAAACUCUGAUGCAGCGAUGCCGCGUGAGUGAAGAAGGCCUUUGGGUUGUAAAGCUCUUUUGUAGGGGAAGAUAAUGACUGUACCCUAAGAAUAAGGUCCGGCUAACUUCGUGCCAGCAGCCGCGGUAAUACGAAGGGACCUAGCGUAGUUCGGAAUUACUGGGCGUAAAGCGCGCGUAGGCCGUUGAGUUAGUUAAUUGUGAAAUCCCAAAGCUUAACUUUGGAACUGCAAUUAAAACUGCUCGACUAGAGUUUGAUAGAGGAAAGCGGAAUACAUAGUGUAGAGGUGAAAUUCGUAGAUAUUAUGUAGAACACCAGUUGCGAAGGCGGCUUUCUGGAUCAACACUGACGCUGAGGCGCGAAAGUAUGGGUAGCAAAGAGGAUUAGAUACCCUCGUAGUCCAUACCAUAAACGAUGAUUGCUAGAUGUUGGAAAUUUAUUUUCAGUAUCGCAGCUAACGCAUUAAGCAAUCCGCCUGGGGAUACGACCGCAAGGUUAAAACUCAAAGGAAUUGACCGGNNGAGACGNGCGAGACGACACGAGGAGAG
rnacentral:rRNA from 1 species